AUUGAACGCUGGCGGAAUGCUUUACACAUGCAAGUCGAACGGUAGAGGGGGCAACCCCUCGAGAGUGGCGAACGGGUGAGUAAUAUAUCGGAACGUGCCCAGUCGUGGGGGAUAACGUAGCGAAAGUUACGCUAAUACCGCAUACGCCCUGAGGGGGAAAGUGGGGGACCCGCAAGGCCUCACGCUAUACGAGCGGCCGAUGUCGGAUUAGCUAGUUGGUAGGGUAAAGGCCUACCAAGGCGACGAUCCGUAGCGGGUCUGAGAGGAUGAUCCGCCACACUGGGACUGAGACACGGCCCAGACUCCUACGGGAGGCAGCAGUAGGGAAUAUUGGGCAAUGGAUGCAAGUCUGACCCAGCCAUGCCGCGUGCAGGAAGAAGGUCCUCUGGAUUGUAAACUGCUUUAUCGGGAAGAAUAGUUUCUUAGCGUAGGGAAUGUGACGGUACUGUAGGAAUAAGGAUCGGCUAACUCGUG
rnacentral:rRNA from 1 species